UUUUCUUAUUUUUGUUCGAAUUAGGUAAUGAUGGUAAUUAGUGCAAGAAAACUAAGAAAUGUUUGAUUUUGGCUUGAAUUUUUAUGUUAUAUUUGAAAUUGUAUGAAAAUAAAAGUAAGUGGGGGAAAAAUGAUUAUAUAUUGUUUUAGGUUUAGUCGAUAUGAAUUAUGAGUUUUAAAGUCUCAGCAUGAAAUAUUACAUGUAAAGAUGUACUAAAGUAUGAUGUAGUAAAUAUAAUAAUUCUGAUAAAUAUUUGUGCCAGCAUUCGCGGUUAUACUUUAAGGUUAAAUAAAAAUUUUUAGUUUACAGUUAAACUGUCUUGAUUUUAAAGAGAUUAUAAAUAAUAGCAAGUGAAAUUGAUUAUUAUAUUGUAUGGAAGAUAAAUCUGAGUUGAAGCUGAGAAGAUUUAAUAAGAGACUAGGAUUAGAUACCCUAUUAUUAAAAAAUAAAAUUAUAAAAACUUAAUUAGUGAGAGAUAAAUACUUAAAAUUUAAAAAAUUUGGCGGUAAUUUAAUCUUUUCAGAGGAACCUGUUUUUGAAUCGAUAACCCACGAAAAAUCUUACUUAUCUUUGUUAAUAUUUCAGUUUGUAUACCAUCAUUACAAAUAAUUUUUAGAAAAGUAAAUUAUUAAGUGUAAUAUAUUAUAGAAAUUAGAUCAUGGUGCAGCCUAUAGAUAAGGUAAAAUGGGUUACAAUAAAUUGUUUUAUACGGAUUAGUAAUGAGAAUUGAUGCUAUGAAGGAGGAUUUGAUUGUAUUUGAAGUUUAAUAAGCUUUAAAGAUAUAGGCUCUAAAUUAUGUACAUAUCGCCCGUCGCUUUCGUCUAUAAGCGAAAUAAGUCGUAACAUAGUAGGUGUACUGGAAAGUGCGCCUAG
rnacentral:ncRNA from 1 species